GAUGAACGCUGGCGGCGUGCCUAACACAUGCAAGUCGUACGAGCUCGAUCUUCGGAACGGGUUAGUGGCGCACGGGUGAGUAACACGUAGGUGACCUACCCCAGAGUGGGGGAUAACUUCUCGAAAGAGAGGCUAAUACCGCAUACACUCGGUCAUUCAUUUGGCCGAGCAAAGCUCCGGCGCUUUGGGACGGGCCUGCGUCCGAUUAGCUAGUUGGUGGGGUAAUGGCUUACCAAGGCUUUGAUCGGUAGCUGGUCUGAGAGGACGAUCAGCCACACUGGCACUGACACACGGGCCAGACUCCUACGGGAGGCAGCAGUGAGGAAUAUUGGGCAAUGGGCGAAAGUCUGACCCAGCAACGCCGCGUGAGGGAUGAAGGCCUUCGGGUUGUAAACCUCUUUCUGGGAGAAGAGACAAGGACGGUAUCCCACGGAAUAAGUCUCGGCUAACUACGUGCCAGCAGCCGCGGUAAU
rnacentral:rRNA from 1 species